rnacentral:sRNA from 1 species
UAAAGGGCCAGGCACAUAAAAUAUUUCUUAUUGCAGGAAUUUGUUCAUAUGUGGCCCCGCCUAGCUGUGUAGAGGUUGUAUCUUACCUGUAGAUCAGUGAGACUCUGCAUGGGAAAUGUUCAUGGAUGAAGAAAUAAGGACAGGGCAAGGGAGCAGAUCCUGGCUGAGUCUAAGAGCCUUGUGCAUGGUAUAGGUACCCGCAUCUCCUCAUUCACUCAUCAGGAAAGAUCAAUCAACAUUUGCUGAGUUUUUUGAAAACCCAGAUUGAGGACCCCACAAAUUAUUCAUCUUACAGACCCGAAUGCAAGUGAAGAGAAUAAUGCUAGGGCUCUGCUAUGAAGGAAGCUUAACCAAUCACACCUGCCAAGAGCUGCUUUACAGCCAGGACCAAACUCCUGAAAAGGCUCAGAACCUGUGGAGCCCCACAGCCUGCAACCAGGAUAACAAUGAUUGGUUCUGCUGUUUAUUUACUCUAGAGUCAUCACACACAGGCAAGUUCAGAUUUCAACCUGAUCCCUAGGGUUUAAGCUACAUCCAGUGUAAAAUUAAAAUUAGGUUUUAUUGAAGCCCAUUCCCCAGCACAACAGAGAAACAUCUCUUGACUACCACAAUGGCAAACAAGG